UAAUUGUCAUUAGGCGAAGUUGUCAAUUACAUAUUUAAAUUAAAAACAAAAAGCAUAAAAGUGGUUAAACUAUUAUUUGCAAUAGACCCUAACAAUUUCCUUUUAACCCAUUUUUCCAAAAUAAAAAACAAACAAAACAACCAAUUGUUUAACCUCUCGGCAAAACUGACUCCCACAUUUCUCUUGUGAGUGUUUCUUUGCCUCCACUUCUCGCCACACCAGAAUGCGAAAACACACUUUUAACCACCACUCACCUUCUUGUUAGAAUGAAAUUCAUGCACAAACAUGGUAGACUUCAACACAUAUUUCGUAAAGACCAAAAUUGUGGAAGGGUCAAGAGUGGUAACAAUGACGUUAGAGAUGCAAAUAGUCAUCUUGUAGCGUCCACGACAAGAGUAUUUAACAAGAUACUUGGACUUUUCAAGCGGCGAAGGAGCUGAAUUAGUAGCAGAUUUUUGGAAACGGAGAAAAAUGCUAGUUCGUAGUCGGUGAACUAGCCUACAAA
rnacentral:lncRNA from 1 species